AACGGUCUAUACCUGCGGUACCUGCGGAAGGAUCAUUAAAGAGAAAACUGCCCUUUGGGUAGAUCUCCCACCCUUUGUUUAUAUUACCUUUGUUGCUUUGGCAGGCCCGUCUCUGACCACCGGCUCUUUGGCUGGUCUGUGCCUGCCAAGAGACCUCCAACUCUUGAUUUGAAGUUGUCCAAGUCUUAUAUAAUAGUAAAAACUUUCAACAACGGAUCUCU
rnacentral:misc_RNA from 1 species